rnacentral:rRNA from 1 species
AAUCAACGCUGGCGGCGUGCCUCAGACAUGCAAGUCGAACGAUUAAGACUUCCUUCGGGAAGUGUAUAAAGUGGCGCACGGGUGAGUAACACGUAAGUAAUCUACCUUCGAGUGGGGAAUAACGUUCGGAAACGAACGCUAAUACCGCAUAAUGCAGCGGCAUCGCAAGAUGACAGUUGUUAAAGGAAUUUAUUUCGCUUGAAGAGGAGCUUGCGGCAGAUUAGCUAGUUGGUAAGGUAACGGCUUACCAAGGCUACGAUCUGUAUCCGGUCUAAGAGGACGGUCGGACACACUGACACUGAAUAACGGGUCAGACUCCUACGGGAGGCAGCAGUCGGGAAUUUUGGGCAAUGGGCGAAAGCCUGACCCAGCAACGCCGCGUGAAGGAUGAAGUAUUUCGGUAUGUAAACUUCGAAAGAAUGGGAGGAAUAAAUGACGGUACCAUUUAUAAGCUCCGGCUAACUACGUGCCAGCAGCCGCGGUAAU